CAAUUUCUAACGGGGUCCUGAACAACAACAAGCUUUCAGGCAGAUCAAGCAAGAGAUUGCACAUGCCGUGGCUCUUGGACCAGUCAGGAUGGGACCAGAUGUAAAGAAUGUGCUCUACUCUGCAGCUGGAGAUAAAGGUCCCUCCUGGAGCCUCUGGCAAAAGGUGCCUGGUGAGACGUGAGGGCGACCACUGGGUUUCCGGAGCCAAAGCUACAGAGGUUCUGAGGCCAAUUCCACCCCUGUGGAGAAGGAAAUCUUAGUGGUGUAUGAAGGCAUAUGAGCAGCUUCAGAGCUUUCAUAUUCAGCAAUGUCCUCGCUCCCGACAGACCAGGAUCCCCUUUCCAGAGUAAUGGAGGAGCACCGUGAUUUUUUAAUC